UGAACGCUGGCGGCGUGCCUAAUACAUGCAAGUCGAGCGAACAGACGAGGAGCUUGCUCCUCUGACGUUAGCGGCGGACGGGUGAGUAACACGUGGAUAACCUACCUAUAAGACUGGGAUAACUUCGGGAAACCGGAGCUAAUACCGGAUAAUAUAUUGAACCGCAUGGUUCAAUAGUGAAAGACGGUUUUGCUGUCACUUAUAGAUGGAUCCGCGCCGCAUUAGCUAGUUGGUAAGGUAACGGCUUACCAAGGCGACGAUGCGUAGCCGACCUGAGAGGGUGAUCGGCCACACUGGAACUGAGACACGGUCCAGACUCCUACGGGAGGCAGCAGUAGGGAAUCUUCCGCAACGGGCGAAAGCCUGACGGAGCAACGCCGCGUGAGUGAUGAAGGUCUUCGGAUCGUAAAACUCUGUUAUUAGGGAAGAACAAAUGUGUAAGUAACUAUGCACGUCUUGACGGUACCUAAUCAGAAAGCCACGGCUAACUACGUG
rnacentral:rRNA from 1 species